rnacentral:lncRNA from 1 species
AUUUUUUGGUGGAGGAUGUGUACCCAGGGGUGUGUGUCCACUGAACCACAUUCUAAGUCACCCCCACCUCUUUUUAAAAUUAAGAGACAGGAUCGUGCUAAGUUGCACAGGGCCCUGCUGCAUGGCUGAGGCUGGCUUUGAAAUCGCGAUCCUCCUGCCUCAGCCUCCCAUGCUGCUGGGAUUUCAGGCGUGCACCACCACAUCCAGCUUCUCUCCAAAUUUUCUAUCACACACUAAUGUAUCCAUUCAACAAACCCAUCAAAUACAUGCAACUUACUCACUGAACUAUUACAUGUAAGUAUUUUAAAGAUAGGUAUGUAGCUAUGUCUGGGUUAAUAUCUCAUUUUUAUUAGAAAGGCAUGGGGGUGCGUGCCUGUGAUUGCAGCAUUUGGGAGGCUGAGGCUAAAGGAUCGUAACUGCAAAGCCAGCCUCAGCCACUGAGCGAGGCCCUAAAAAUCUUAGCAAAACCUUCUCUCUAAAUAAGAUUAUAAAAAGGGCUGAGGAUGUGGUUCAGGGGUUAAGCACCCAGGGUUCAAUCCCUGGUACCAAAAUAAUAAGACUUUGCUGAGUCCUUGUCAUGUCCUUAAAACUCACCAGGGCUCCCGUCACCUUCUGUAUCCUAAGGUAAAAAUGGAAGAAAGAGAUCCUGAAGGUCGACUGGCCCAAAGCUGUCAGGACUGGGACAUGCAAAUGUACCUGCAGGAGGAUCUGUGUCCCUGAUGAGCUCAAUAAAGACACGAGUCAAGUGCAAUUUGCUUAAAGGUGAAGAACAUAA